AUGCAUUGGGUGUCCUGGAAAGAAUUGGCGACACCCAAGUGCAAGGGGGGAAUGGGAUUCAGAGAUCCUCAUCUUUUCAAUCUUGCUAUGCUGGGUAAGCAUGGCUGGCGGUUUUUGACGAAUCCAGAUUCCCUGUGUGCAAGAGUGUUGAAAGGUCCCUACUUCCCCGACACAGAUUUCAUGCAUGCCUCUGCACCCAAGUCGGCCUCGGCCACUUGGAAGGCGAUCAUAGCAGGUAGGGAAGCUUUACGGCCGGGUUUGAUCACUCGUGUUGGAGAUGGCAGUUCUAUAUCGGUUUGGACAGAUAAAUGGAUCCCGGGGACAAUCAGCAUGACACCUGUUUCACGACCGCCGAACACUAACAUUCAGUUAGUCUCAGAGCUUAUUGAUUAUGAUAGCUGGUCUUGGAGACAGGAUUUGAUCAGAGACACCUUCAUUGCUUCUGAUGCUGCGGCCAUUCUUAACAUUCCUAUCCGGUCGGGUGGAGGUAAUGAUUUCCCUGCUUGGGCAUUCGAAAAAUCAGGCAACUACACUGUGAAAACGGCAUACCGCUCUCUUGUGACUCAUAAUGAGCGUUUAGCUCUAGAAGAAGGGACGGCUACCGGGACCUCAUUGAGUGAUCAACAGAUGUGGAAAGCCCUGUGGAAUUUGAAUGUUAUUCCAAAAGUUAGAGUGUUCUAG
rnacentral:rRNA from 1 species